rnacentral:rRNA from 1 species
UACGUAGGGGGCAAGCGUUGUCCGGAUUUAUUGGGCGUAAAGAGCUCGUAGGCGGUUUGGUAAGUCUGGUGUGAAAUCUCCACGCUCAACGUGGAGGGGCCACCCGAUACUGCCAUGACUGGAGUCCGGUAGAGGAGUGUGGAAUUCCCGGUGUAGCGGUGAAAUGCGCAGAUAUCGGGAGGAACACCCGUAGCGAAGGCGGCACUCUGGGCCGGUAUUGACGCUGAGGAGCGAAAGCGUGGGGAGCAAACAGG